AAAUACAUUUUUUUUUAUUUUUUAUAGGCUUAUUUUGAUAAUUUUUUAUUUUUCUAUUUUUAUAUUAUUGUUUAUGAUAAAUUUUUGCAAACUACCAAUGAACACAGCAAUUGUAGUAUUAUUUGGUAUAUAUAUACAACAACAUUUAAGAAAUCAGUUGAGAUUUUGAGCAUUACUUAAUAACUUAAGAUACUGAUUUAAUUAAAUUUUGUUUAAUUUUAAUAUUGGUUUGUUUCUUUUUAAUAGAACCCAUGCUUUGUAAAGGUUAAUGUUAUACUUUUGUAAAAAUGGUAUAUCCGUAAAAUAAAUAACUAAAUAUAAAAUAAAUGAUGAAAAUGAAUAAAUUUCUGACACCUCUUCAGAAAUAAUUACACACUGUUGAAAACAUAUUCGUUAGUCUGAUUCAAAAGACUAAUUCGAUUCUUGGUGCAGCAUAUUAUGUAGCUCAACUUACUUCUCUUUCUUUUUGUUUCAGAAAUAAAGAACAAUGUCAGUUGGGUUAGUUUCUGAAACAGCGUAAAAGAAGAGGUUAUGUUGUUUUGAUGCCAGAAGAGGUUAGUUUCCUGAAGCACCAUAAAUCAUUGAUUUACUAAUCAGGCAUACUUAAGAGUACUGCAUUCAAUAAUUAGAAAUUAGGAGCGACACCAGAAUAAGUAAACACCAUAAAUAUAAAUCAUUAAUGUAUUACUAAUCAAGCAUACAGUUCGUUCAGUAUGGAUACCGUUACCUAAUAAAUAAAGUGAUAAGCGCGCUAAUAGCCGGCAAAAUAACGCAAAAGAUAAAAAGAAAUAAAACUAGUAGAGGUGGGAAGUUUAGCGAUGAAAUCGUAUAAAUUUACAUUAUAUUUAUUGUUUCCCACCUUUAGACGUAUCGGACGAGUUUGGCAACUGCCACUGUGACAGUGACAGUUUUAGUUGACAUACUCCUCUGAUAUGUCUAAAGGUGGAAAACAAUAAAUAUAAUGUGAAUUUAUACGUUUUUAUUGCUAAAUUUCCCAACUCUACUAGUUUCAUUUCUUUUUAUCGCACACAACUAAAUAUGUUUUCCAUCUUUUGCGUUAUUUUGCCGGUUAUUAGCGCGCUCAUCACUGUUUAUCUUUUAUGUACAGUUUUUAUAUGUAUUCGAAUGUCUUUUUGUUCAUCACAGAUAACGCAAAAUCUAUUGCUAAUACAGUAAAACCUCGAUAUAACGGACCUCUAUUUAACGGAAUUCUAAUAUAACAGACAAAGAAUCCGGUCAAAUGUAAAAAAAAAUCAUUAUUCUCUGAUAUCCGCCCCUUCUUAUGUGAGGGGCGGCGACGGCUUCAAAUAUUUAUCUGUGAUGAACUAGAACAUGUAUCCUAGCACAUGUAUCCUAGCUCCUGAUCGAUUCCCUUUAAAAAAAAUGUUUUGCAUGCGUUACACUUAAAAUUUCUAGCCCUAAUAGAUUUAUGAACAUUCUUAAUGUGUUCCAAUGUCGUAAUUUUUUUUCAUCACAAUUAACGCAAAAUCUACUACUAUUCGAGUCAUUACUCUCUUAUAUCCGCCCCUCUUUAUGUGGGGGGGGGGGCGGCAAGGAAUUUAAAAUAUUUAUCUGUGAUGAACUAAACACGUGCUAGAUGCUCCCGAGCGAUUCCCUUUAAAAAUAAUGUUUUACUACGUGCGUUACACUCAAAAUUUCUAGCCCUAAUUGAUUUAUGAUCAUUUUUAACAUGUGUUUCAAUGUCUAAUUUUUUUUCGUCACAAUUAACGCAAAACCUACUACUCUUCGAGUCAUUAUUCUCUGAUAUCCGCCCCUCUAUGUGAGGGGCGGCGAGGGCUUCAAAUAUUUAUCUGUGAUGAACUAGAACACGUGCUAGGGUGCUGCCGAGCCAUUCCCUUUAAAACAAUGUUUUAACCACAUGCGUUACAGAUAAAAUUUCUAGCCCUAAUAGAUUUAUGAACAUUCUUAAUGUGUUCCAAUGUCGUAAUUUUUUUUCAUCACAAUUAACGCAAAAUCUACUACUAUUCGAGUCAUUAUUCUCUUAUAUCCGCCCCUCUUUAUGUGGGGGGGGGGCAAGGAAUUUAAAAUAUUUAUCUGUGAUGAACUAAACACGUGCUAGAUGCUCCCGAGCGAUUCCCUUUAAAAAUAAUGUUUUACUACGUGCGUUACACUCAAAAUUUCUAGCCCUAAUUGAUUUAUGAUCAUUUUUAACAUGUGUUUCAAUGUCUAAUUUUUUUCGUCACAAUUAACGCAAAAUCUACAACUAUUCGAGUCAUUAUUCUCUGAUAUCCGCCCCUCUAUAUGAGGGGCGGCGAGGGCUUCAAAUAUUUAUCUGUGAUGAACUAGAACACGUGCUAGGAUGCUCCCGAGCCAUUCCCUUUAAAACAAUGUUUUAACCACAUGCGUUACAGAUAAAAUUUCUAGCCCUAAUAGGUUUAUGAACAUUCUUAAUGUGUUGCAAUGUCUAAUUUUUUUUUAUCACAAUUAACGCAAAAUCUACAACUAAUACGGUCAUUAUUCUCUGAUAUCCGCCCCGAUGUGGAUGGAGUUUCUGCGAUCGUUUUUUGGCGAGCGAUUCCCUUAAAAAAAAAGUUUUAGGGCAUACAUCAUUAUUCUUUGAUAUCCGCCCCUCUCUAUGUGAGCAUGAGGCUUUUACUGUGGUCGAUGUGUGUGCGAAAUUCUAAAAAAGAACAGACUUAUCACUUAAAUAUUUCGUGUUGGUAUCAUGUGACGUCACAUGCUAUGACACGGAUGACGUUCAACGGUAUUUAUAUUGUACGGUCUGUAUACUCCCACAAAAUCACACAAUAUUCGGGAUUAUUUAAUAAACAAAAAUUAAUUAAGCAAAAUUUACUGUAGCAUGUAUAUGUUACAGUUCAAGUUGAUUCUCAGUUAGAGUCGACUCCAACUAGUUGGAGUCAACUCCAACUGAAACGAGCAGUAAAAGUUGAUUUUAAAAAUUUAAAUCAACUUGUACUAGUUGGAGUUGACUCUUCCUGGAUCGAUUCAGUAAAUGUUGAUUAUACGAGAAUCUCAAGUGCAUUUUUGAUGAGUGUGCGUUUCUUUGUCUUGACCGUUUUAACUACUUAUUAGUAGAGUCUGUAACGUCGUCCCCGUUAGGUUAAUUAUUCUGAUUCGAUUUUUUGCACAAACUUACUCAAAGAAAUACAUCCGUAUAACAAUCCUUAUAACAAAUACACAGAGUGUCACGCGGUACCGCGGUCGAUAAAUUGUUUAACCAAUUUUUGUUAAAUUUACAAAAAUAAUUUUUAUCUACUUUAUCUCAUAUUAUGUAAGUAAAGGUUUUAUUGUGUGAAAAUUGUAAAUAUAGAUAGCAGUACAUGAAGGGCUUAAAGUGUGUCUGAAGUAACAAUGUAUUUUAAAUGGCUUUUAAUUUUUCGCAUUGUUUUUUAGCACACUUUCAUAUAAUUAAACAUCCUUAACUUUCGCCUUCGGGAGGAAAUCCGACUCGCCCUUGCAACGGCAACUGAAAUGCUCACAAAACAGCGACCACGGAAGCAAAGAUGGAUGACAAAGGAAAUAUUGGAUUUAAUGGAUAAAAGAAGAAAAUUCAAACAGCACAAAGCAAUGUACAAAGCAUUAAAUAGAACCAUUAAACAAAAAAUAAAAAUUGCAAAAGAAAAAUGGAUAACAGAACAAUGUGAAGAAAUCGAAAACUUAUAUAAAAAACAUGAUGACUUCCAUCUGUAUAAGAAACUCAGGAAUUCACAGGCACGACAUAUUCACAAGGACUAAAUAAUCUAAUCAAGGCAAACUGAUUUCAAGCCCUGAAGAACAAAUAAACAUGUGGGAAGACUAUAUAAAGGAACUCUUCUAUCACAUCAGAGAACCUCCUACAUUAAAUACCGAAAACGAUGAAGGUCUUCCAAUACUGAAGUCCGAACUGAAAUAUGCUCUACGUCAACUAAAAAACAACAAAUCUGUAGGAUGAAAAACCAGCUGAGCUGUUGAAGUUAAUCAACGAGAAAACUUAGACCUUCUUCUUGGACUAUUUAAUAAUGUUUACAAUACAGGGACUAUCCCUAAAACAUGGCUUGAAUCAGUCUUCAUACCACUACCUAAAAAGAAUAAUGCCAAAUUAUUCCAGGACUUCCGCCUUAUAAGUCUAUUAAAUAACAUUCUAAAGCUUUUCUUGCGUAUCAUACAGAACAGAAUAUACAGUAGAGUCUCGGUUAUCCGCCCUUCAUUUAUCCGCCGUUCCGUUUUAUCCGCCGCUCCAUUUAAGUAAUAAUUUUUUUUUCAAAUUUAUAUAACUUUGAAAAUAUUAAGCGAGCGGCCGUGGAGUAACGGCAUAAUCGCUGGCCUCAUACGCCAGUGCACGUGGGUUCGAGCCCUGCCAAAGACAAACCAUUUUCAUUUCCAAUAAUGACACGAGCCCACUCACUGUGCCUCGGAGAGCACGUUAAGCCGUCGGGCCCCCUGGGCUAGUGUACAUCGACAUUAGUUACUUGAAACAGGGUUAAAUAUGUAAUUGGCGCCGGAACUGUCCGAAAGGCAAAAAGUCAUACGAUAUUAUACAGUGAGCACGUAAAGGUUGGAAUAAAUUUAUUUUCUCGAGAAUUGACGAUUUUGGAAAAAAAUCCCGAAACAGGUCCAUUUUUAUUUUUAUAUUGCGCCUUUUUGGCAUAUAUAUCAUACUAGUGACGUCACCCGUCUGGGCGUGAUGACGUCAUCUACGUUUUUUUAAAUGAGAAUAGGGGUCACGUGAUAGCUCAUUUAAAAGGUAAUUCAAUUUUCUAUUCAGUAAUAUAAACAUUAACAUUAUUAUUUAUACAGGGUGUCCAAAAAAUAUUUUUUUUGAAUUAAAUUUUUUGACAAAAAGAAGAAUGUGUGUAAUUUAUUUAACUCAUAAUACUUUUUACUCCUAUCAGAAAACAGGAAAUAAUGUGUGUUUGACAAAUAAAAAUAUUGUUUUUUGCUUAAAUUCAGUAUUAAAGCAGCCACCCACCUUCCUCUUGACAGUUUGAACAUUUAAUUUAAGCGAAAAGCAAUGAUUAUUUUUCAAAUAAACAAUUUAUUCUGUUUUAUGAGAGCAGUAAAAUGUAUUUUGAAUUAAAUAAAUUACUUGCAUUCUUCUUUUUAUGUCAGUAAAUUUAAUCAAAAAAAUAAAAAAAAUUGGGCAGCUGUAUAAAAAAAUUAUGUUAUUAGUUAUAUUAUUGAAUAGAGAAUUGAAUUACCUUUCAAAUGAGCUGUCACAAGACCCCUAUUCCCAUUUAAAAAAAUCAUCGAUGACGUCAUCACGCCCAGAUGGGUGACGUCACUAGUGGCACAUGGUAUAUAUGCCAAAAAGUCGUAAUUUAAAAAUAAAAAUUGACCUGUUUCGGGAUUUCUUUCUAAAAUCGUCCAUUCGCGAGAAAAUGAAUUUAUUCCAACCUUUACGUGCUCACUGUAUAUUAUGAAAGUCAGAAACUAAAAAAAUCAAAGAUAAAAGCUACCUCUAUAAGAUCCUGAAGAAAUUUUUGUCAUUAUUUCAUUAAUGAGAUAUUAUUUCUAAUUAUCAACAAUGAGCGCUAAGCGCGUAUUGAGGCGGCCGUCAAUGUGAGUGCGAGUGAGAUUCACCAUUGGACGGCCCAAAUGGUGCAUCUCUUUAGCACUCACCAUUGUCGGCCGUCUAAUACACACUUAGCCCUCAUUGUUAAUAAUUAAAGAUAAAGCUUAGUAAUAAAAUAGUGACAAAAAUUUCUGCUGGAUCUUGUAGAGGGGGCUAUAAACUUUGAUUUGGUCACUUUCUGACUUUUAUAAUAAUAAUUAUAAAUUAAUUUUAAUUUUAAUUUGGAUUUUAACCGAGUUAUUAAGCCUUGAAAAUGGCUAUUUUUGCAUUUUUCAAAUUUUAAAUCGCGUAUAACUCGACAACAAUCAAUUUUAGAGAAAAAUCACAAAAUACCUUUUUUUGCUCAGAAUAACUCAAAUGAUCUAAAAAAAAUUGUUCGAAGUGAAAAAAUUAUUUUUGUGAAUUUGUCUAAAAAAAAUUGUUUAAACAAUUUAUCGAUCAAGGUACUGCCUGGCACCCGGUAGAUUUGUUAUAAGGACCUCUUUUUGAGUAAGUUUGUGCAAAAAAUUCGAAUCGGAGUAAUUUCACUAACGGGGACGACGACACAGCCUAGACUAAUUUGAACAUAUUCAGUAACAUUAAUUUAAUUUCUAGAAUCGGCUGUUUGUGUGAAUCAGAAUCAACUUUUACUAAAUGGCAUUGGGAAGAGUAUACUUUUCCUAGUUGGAGUCUACUUUUACUAGUAAAUGUUGAAUAUAAAUAUUCAUUUUAUAUUUAUAAUCAACUUUUACUGAAACCAGCCGUUAGAGUCGACUCCAACUAGUUGGAGUCAACUCCAACUGGAUAAUCAACUUGAACUGUAACAUAUACAUUAUUAAAUAGAUAAGUUAACAUCCUUUCCUGUAUUUAUUCUUUUAAUACAGAACAUUGCAACUAGUUGUAAUAUUAUAUUAAAUAAACAAUAUGCUUCUUA